GUGAGGAAUAUUGGUCAAUGGGCGGGAGCCUGAACCAGCCAAGUCGCGUGAAGGAAGAAGGAUCUAUGGUUCGUAAACUUCUUUUGUAGGGGAAUAAAGUGCAGGACGUGUCCUGUUUUGUAUGUACCCUGAGAAUAAGGAUCGGCUAACUCCGUGCCAGCAGCCGCGCUAAUACGGAGGAUCCGAGCGUUAUCCGGAUUUAUUGGGUUUAAAGGGUGCGUAGGUGGUUUGAUAAGUCAGCGGUGAAAGUUUGCAGCUUAACUGUAAAAAUGCCGUUGAAACUGUCGGACUUGAGUGUAAAUGAGGUAGGCGGAAUGCGUGGUGUAGCGGUGAAAUGCAUAGAUAUCACGCAGAACUCCGAUUGCGAAGGCAGCUUACUAAGCUACAACUGACACUGAAGCACGAAAGCGUGGGGAUCAAACAGGAUUAGAAACCCGAGUAGUCC
rnacentral:rRNA from 1 species